rnacentral:rRNA from 1 species
UGAACCUACGGGACGCAGCAGUAGGGAAUUUUCGUCAAUGGGCGCAAGCCUGAACGAGCAAUGCCGCGUGAACGCGGAAGGUCUUCGGAUCGUAAAGUUCUGUUGAAGGGGAAAAAGAGCGGAGAGGGGAAAUGAACUCCGAUUGAUAUUACCCUUCGAGGAAGUCACGGCUAACUACGUGCCAGCAGCCGCGGUAAUACGUAGGUGGCGAGCGUUAUCCGGAAUGAUUGG